UACGGAGGGUGCAAGCGUUGUCCGGAAUCACUGGGCGUAAAGGGUGCGUAGGCGGUCGGGUAAGUCUGGCGUGAAAUCUCCAAGCCUAACUUGGAAACUGCGUUGGAUACUAUCCGGCUCGAGGAAUGGAGGGGAGACUGGAAUACUUGGUGUAGCAGUGAAAUGCGUAGAUAUCAAGUGGAACACCAGUGGCGAAGGCGAGUCUCUGGACAUUUCCUGACGCUGAGGCACGAAAGCCAGGGGAGCAAACGGG
rnacentral:rRNA from 1 species